UGCAUGUCUAAGUACUUGCCGAACUAAGGUGAAACCGCGAAUGGCUCAUUAAAUCAGUUAUGGUUCCUUGGAUCGUACCUCACUACUUGGAUAACUGUGGCAAUUCUAGAGCUAAUACAUGCAGCAGAGCUCCGACCCUCGGGAACGAGCGCUUUUAUUAGACCAACCAGACGGGCCUCGCGCCCGCCAACUCUGUGGUGACUCUGUAUAACUUUGGGCCGAUCGCACGGGCCUGACCCGGCGACGUAUCCUUCAAGUGUCUGCCUUAUCAACUGUCGAUGGUAGGUCACGCGCCUACCAUGGUCGUAACGGGUGACGGGGAAUCAGGGUUCGAUUCCGGAGAGGGAGCCUGAGAAACGGCUACCACAUCCAAGGAAGGCAGCAGGCGCGCAAAUUACCCACUCCCGGCACGGGGAGGUAGUGACGAAAAAUAACGAUACGGGACUCUUACGAGACCCCGUAAUCGGAAUGAGCACCAUGUAAAUCCUUUAACGAGGAUCCAUUGGAGGGCAAGUCUGGUGCCAGCAGCUGCGGUAAUUCCAGCUCCAAUAGCGUAUAUUAAAGUUGUUGCGGUUAAAAAGCUCGUAGUUGGUUCUCAGCAUGGGACGGGGGGUCCGCCUAACGGCGUUAAUCCCCCGCUUUCCGGCACUCGGCCGGUUUCCCCGGGAUGAUCUUCACCGGUCGUCAGGGGUGACCGGCGAGUUUACCUUGAAAAAAUUAGAGUGCUCAGAGCAGGCGAGAAGCCUGGAUAAUGGUGCAUGGAAUAAUGGAAUACGACCUCGCUUCUGUUUUGUUGGUCCACCGAAUCGAGGUAAUGAUUAAGAGGGACAGACGGGGGCAUUCGUAUUGCGACGCUAGAGGUGAAAUUCUUGGACCGUCGCASGACGAACCACUGCGAAAGCAUUUGCCAAGAAUGUUUUCAUUAAUCAAGAACGAAAGUCAGAGGUUCGAAGGCGAUCAGAUACCGCCCUAGUUCUAACCAUAAACGAUGCCAGCCAGCGAUCCGGCUGUGUUCCUAGAAUGACACGCCGGGCAGCUUCCGGGAAACCAAAGCUUCUGGGUUCCGGGGGAAGUAUGGUUGCAAAGCUGAAACUUAAAGGAAUUGACGGAAGGGCACCACCAGAAAUGGAGCCUGCGGCUUAAUUUGACUCAACACGGGUAAGCUCACCCGGUCCGGACACAGGAAGGAUUGACAGAUUGAUAGCUCUUUCUUGAUUCUGUGGGUGGUGGUGCAUGGCCGUUCUUAGUUGGUGGGGUGACUUGUCUGGUUAAUUCCGAUAACGAACGAGACUCUAGCCUACUAAAUAGACGCACCCGCCCUCAACGGGCGGGACGUUCUUCUUAGAGGGACAAGCGGCUCUCAGCCGCACGAGACAGAGCAAUAACAGGUCUGUGAUGCCCUUAGAUGUCCGGGGCCGCACGCGCGCUACAUUGGAGGAGGCAGCGUGUGCUUUCCCUGGCCGAAAGGUCUGGGCAACCCGAUCAGUCUCCUCCGUGCUGGGGACAGGGGAUUGUAAUUGUUCCCCUCGAACGAGGAAUUCCCAGUAAGCGCGAGUCAUCAGCUCGUGCUGACUAAGUCCCUGCCCUUUGUACACACCGCCCGUCGCUACUACCGAUUGAAUGAUUCGGUGAGGUCUUCGGACUGGCGCUCGGUUCAGCCCUCGCGGUGGAGCUGGCGUGCCGGAAAGAUGACCGAACUUGAUUAUUUAGAGGAAGUAAA
rnacentral:rRNA from 1 species